UACGAAGGGGGCUAGCGUUGUUCGGAUUUACUGGGCGUAAAGCGCACGUAGGCGGAUCGUUAAGUCGGGGGUGAAAUCCUGGAGCUCAACUCCAGAACUGCCUUCGAUACUGGCGAUCUUGAGUCCGGAAGAGGUGAGUGGAACUCCUAGUGUAGAGGUGGAAUUCGUAGAUAUUAGGAAGAACACCAGUGGCGAAGGCGGCUCGCUGGCCCGAUACUGACGCUGAGGCACGAAAGCGUGGGGAGCAAACAGG
rnacentral:rRNA from 1 species